rnacentral:tRNA from 5 species
GGAUUCCAUAACUCAGUUGGUUAGAGUGUGGUGCUAAUAUCGCCAAAGUCGAGGGUUACCCCCUCUGGAACCA